GGCUUUCAGUUUUUGAGGCAGGGGCCUGCGGCACGAAAAUAGAGCCGACGGGGCUUAUGGUGUUCAAAGUGUUGGAACACCUGGGUGGCUCAGUGAAGUGUCCGACUUCAGCUCAAGUCAUGACCUGAGGGUUUGUGAGUUCGAGCCGUGUGUCCCGGCUCUGUGCUGACAGCUCGGAGCCUGGAGCCUGCUUCGGAGUCUGUGUCUCCCUCUCUCUCAAAAGUAAACAUUAAAAAUUAAAAAAAAAAAAAAAAAAGUGUAAGUGGGAAGAGGAAAGGCCUAGGAAGAGCAUUCUGGAAACUGUGGCUGUCCAUCCAUCCUGCUGCUUAGAGAAAGUACCUUUUGAGGGCGCUUGAAAAUACAAAUACUGAUACUAAGAGGCAACGCCCUAAGCCAGAGAUAAAAGAAUUAACACAGAGAAGUGCACACUGGGUUAAAGAAAGCCACAGAUCCUGCACCGUCCUUUGCCUUGAGAGGUGGAGUCUGAUCUGCCUCCCGUUGAAUCUGGUCUGGGCUUGGUGCCUUGCUUGACCAAUGGAAUGCAGAAGUGAUGUUCUGGCUCUCCCAGGCUAGGUCCCAAGUAGCCUUGUGGCUUCUAGUCUAUCGCCCUUAGAGCAGCUUGUUGUUGGGACGCUCCCUCUGGGCACCCAGCCUCCAUGCUGUGUGAAGCCCAAGCUGCUUGGAGAGGCCACGUGUGGACUGGUCAACAUGUGCAGCUGAACCCCUAGCUGAAAGCCAGCGUCGGCUGACAGCUACGCAUGAGCUAUCUUGGACGUGGAGCCCAGUCAUCAGAUGGGAGCAGCCCCCGCAGACGGUUAGCUGACGUACCAGCAUGAGCGCAGCCUAGCUGAACCUAAUCAAGCCACACAACCGUAAAGGAUCAGCUUAAAAGUUGUGAUUUAAGCCAUGGCAUUCUGGAGUAGUUAAUCGUUCAGCAAAAGAUUACUGGAAUAUGUACGUGGUCCUUGUGCUCUGUUGGUAGAAGGAGCCUACAACUGCAGAGGCUUAAAUCUGAAGAAUUGUCAGAAUGCUAGGAAGCCAAAUCACAAAUUCACAGCCAAAUCAGGGGAAACUUCUAAAUCCUACAAGGAGCAUGGCAAGCAGAUAUUCUAUUGCCUAACACAAUGGGCAGCAGAUGCCAUAUGAUACACAUCUGGUAUCAGAGAAGCUCAUUAAGGGAACCCUUUGGUCUUCCAUUAGUUCAGCCAGACUGGGUCUUCAGACUUGCCUGGGCAAAUCAGGGGCUGCAUUCCAUACACUCGCAGUAGCUGAGAAAACAUACUACCUUGCCCUUAUCGGUGACAAGUGGUCGGAAAUGGAGCCAUCCUUCCUUUGCAGCAUCACUGAAAACCUCUGAGGAAGAAUCUUUCCUGGACCCAGAGUCUUCUGAUGACUUCUGGCUGUCUAUGAUCUACAGAGAAGGUCAAGAAAAUAUAGUAAAAUAUCCUUUUCCUUUAUAAAUAUUUGCACAUGGAAAUUGCUUUACUGAAAACAACUCUUUUUUAUUGUUUAUUUUUGGGAGAAAGAGAGAGAGGGAGAGCCAGCCAUGUGAGUGGGGAAGGGGCAGAGAGAGAAAGAGAUCUGAAGCGGGGUCUAUGCUGACAGCACAGAGCCCGAUGCAGGGCUUGAACUCAUGAACCAUGAGAUCAUGGCCUUGAGCCUAAGUCAGAAACUUAACUGA